GGUUAAGUGACUAAGCGUACACGGUGGAUGCCUAGGCAGUCAGAGGCGAUGAAGGGCGUGCUAAUCUGCGAAAAGCGUCGGUAAGGUGAUAUGAACCGUUAUAACCGGCGAUACCCGAAUGGGGAAACCCAGUGUGUUUCGACACACUAUCAUGUCAUGAAUACAUAGUGGCAUGAGGCGAACCGGGGGAACUGAAACAUCUAAGUACCCCGAGGAAAAGAAAUCAACCGAGAUUCCCCCAGUAGCGGCGAGCGAACGGGGAGGAGCCCAGAACCUGAAUCGGCUUGUGUGUUAGUGGAAGCGUCUGGAAAGUCGCGCAGCAAAGGGUGAUAGCCCCGUACACUAAAAUGCACAGGUCGUGAGUUCGAUGAGUAGGGCGGGACACGUGACAUCCUGUCUGAAUAUGGGGGGACCAUCCUCCAAGGCUAAAUACUCCUGACUGACCGAUAGUGAACCAGUACCGUGAGGGAAAGGCGAAAAGAACCCCGGCGAGGGGAGUGAAAUAGAACCUGAAACCGUGUACGUACAAGCAGUGGGAGCACCUUCGUGGUGUGACUGCGUACCUUUUGUAUAAUGGGUCAGCGACUUAUAUUUUGUAGCAAGGUUAACCGUAUAGGGGAGCCGUAGGG
rnacentral:rRNA from 1 species